GAGGAACGGUCCUGUCGAUAAUAGUUCGGAAGAUCUCCAUCCAUGUUGUCAUGGUUUGGUUAUUCACUAGCUGAAGAGGCAACGCAUACUGGAAAAGAGAAGAACAACAACAACAUGAAUAGUAAUUCUUCCCAUCCAAAAAAAUCAUCAAUUUUAUCUAUAUUCACAAUGAAUCGUCACUUAAGCGCUGGACCCAGAGACACAGCUACAGAAGUCAAUUGGGUUUCAUAACCUCAAAGUGGAGAAAGUACUGUUAUCUCAGUGGGCAGAAUGUCAUGCUUUUGAGUUGAUGUUUGUUCUGCACUCUGCAAUGCUCAGAUCAAUCUUAACAAAUAACCUCUAAACAAAUAACCACAGAAUGAAUUGUUAUAUCUUCUCCCUGUCCAUCCUUUGGAAAUACAAACAAAAAGAAAGAACAAGGAGCAGGCAAACUUAUAGAAAUCAAAAACCAUGCUAUUUUUUUAAAUGACAGUCCCACAUUUGUCACCACUGAUGACCUCUUCAGGUCUAAUACCUCUCAACCACCAUUUUUAAAUCCAAACUACUCUCUCCUUCUCGUAGCAACUCCAAAAUGCACUGAAGAAAGUACAUUUCUGAGCCUAAAUUUACAUAUAUUAAAGAAAUUUUACCAAAGAGUCUCUUCAUUUCAGAGGUAAGAAGUAAAAAAUUAGCAACAAAAGUGAUUUGAAAUUCCAGAUCAUAACUAUCCUAAAUUUAAGAUAGGCUUCCUUCACCACACAUGAUAAUAUUAAUAAUGCUAUUAUGCUUAUCAACACCUCAAAAGAAAAGCAGCAGACCAAACAUUCAAAUUUUUUUGUUUUGCUUGGCAACAUCAAAAUACUUAAUUUUUUCCUGUUUCUUGAAAACUCACAGUAAGGUAAGAAAGGACAUUCAGCAGUGAGCAAGCUUGAUGGUAGCAAGAACACUUUAGACUGCCCACAAGCAAAAGAGAAAAAGUAUUUUGCAGAUGUAUUUCCACUUAGCAUUAGCAUUUUUUUUUUUUUUUUACAGCUUUAUACAGGCUUUCUUUUAAAGCAAAAAUCACAACAUUCUUUUUUAAGUGUCAUGCUAAAGAUAAAUUAUCUGUCUAGGUGUCUUGGAGCAUCCUUGUAUUUUAAUAAUAGAUUAAACAGAGCAGAAAAUUUAUAAAUACCACUUAAGUUUAGGUUAUAAUGUAGAAUUUUAUAAAUGUAUUUCAGAUUGUAUGAUAAAAAUGGCUGCUCUAAGAAGGCUGUCCUAAUAAGUUAGGAAAUAAUCACCAAGAUAAACUUUAUCUUGUAGUUAACAGAUUUGAAAUCUAAAUUAUGAAAAAACAAAUUAUGAAGAAAAAAAUGCCUUUCAAUGCUGUUUACAUUUUACAUCAAAACUUCAUUAAGUUGUACAGAGUUGGUGAGGAUUUGGGGAACCUAGCAUUCUAAUGCACUGUUGGUAGAAAAUGUAAGCAAAAGCAACUUAGUGAGAAGACUCUAAAUUCUAAAUGUCAUGAAUAUCCAUUAGCCAAGGAUUUCCCUUGUUAUAACUUAUUCUAUAAAAACAUUCCCACAAGUACCUAGAUACAUAUCAAAUGACACUCAUUUAGCAUUGCUUCUAUCAACAAUGAAAAAAAAGACAAUAAGCGAAAUGUCUCUCAAUAUCAAAUUGUUUAAGUAAACCAUAGUAAUUCUUAUAUAAGGAAAUACUGCACAGCUGUUAUAAAGAAUGAAAUAUCUAUGUGCACUGACUUGGAGCAAUCUUCAAGGGUACAUGGUUAAAUGAAAAAAAGGAAACUGUAAAAUAGCAUGUGUAAUAUAAACAAAAGAAUUGGAGAGCCAUGCAUCAAAGCUGAUGGCAGUCAUCUUUGGGUGUAUUAAGAACAAUGUAAGGUAUAAACUGUGUUUUUCUAAUGUUUCCAUGUCAUUAAAGGAAGACAUUAAUGUAAAAACUUGUUUUAAGAUCUUUUAAAAUGUUAUUUCUUAAAUGCUUCAUAGGAACUUUACAAUGGCCCUAUAAACACUUAGGUUUUUAAAAUAGGUUCCAUUCAACAAAAUGUUAUUCCAGAACAGCCCUAUUUUAUAAAACAAAGAUGAAACAAGUGCGAAUUGUGGUUUCAAAAAUUUACACAGAAGUCUUGUAAACCUUAUAAAAGCAAAAAAUAAUUCCAACAUCAGUGUUUUUCCAUAGGAUUUUCUUUUUUAUCUUAACCACAAAGGGAUCUUUUAGGAAAUCAUAUAUAGUGUUAUAAAUCUUCCCAAAGCUUAAUAUUUCUUUAUCUUUUUAUUCUAUGUUCAAAUUAAAUACUUUCAUCAGCAUGUAGAUUAUGACCCCAUUUCUCUGAAACUGUUCAUCUAUCCUUCUACGUGAACACAUGGAAAGGCUAAUGUUCACCUAACGUUAAUGAUGGUCAUUUCUGAGUAAUGAUGGCCAUUUCUGAGUGAUGAAUGUUGGGUAAUUUUACUUCCUUCUUUGUAUUCUUCUAAAUUGUCCAAAUUACUUACGUGUAUAUGUCACUUACAUAACAAGUAUUUUUAAAUAUUUAUUUUUAAUUAGCUAUUGUCGUUUACCUCCUUUAGCUUUUGAUUAUUAUCUUUUGAAAAUUCAUGAUCCUCUAAGGCUCUAAUUUUUAAUCUUCUGGGCUCCAAUGACCAGUCCAUAAAAAAAACAAGAUAAAAGAACAAUGUACAACAUCAUGAAACAACCUAAGAUCCCACAGACUUAAAAGUAAGUUUCAUGUUUAAAACAUAGUCCUGCUCCGCAGUCACCUGGGUUAGGAACACCUGUGCAACACAUUACCUCCAUGAUUUGCCACGUAACAGAGCUCGAAUUCACAUAUAUAAAUUCAUGGUUUUAAUCUAUGGGCCCAGAGGCUAGGCUACCAGAAAUCAUAAAACAUUAGAGAGAUCAGCUAUUAAAAUUGAGGAAGCUAACAAAAAUAAGGGCAAAGUUACAGAGGCAAGGAAUUGGUGGGUAAAAGGGAGAGGAGGAAAAAAAAAAGAGCUAGAAGAUAUUUGAGAGCUCAGUAUCUACGUCUAAAUUUCUGGGGAAAAAGAAAGUGAGUUUUUAAGUCACUGGAAAUACUUCAUGAG